GCUCAAGUAGCUUACU
rnacentral:tRNA from 1 species